GACGAACGCUGGCGGCGUGCUUAACACAUGCAAGUCGAACGGAAAGGCCCUGCUUGCAGGGUACUCGAGUGGCGAACGGGUGAGUAACACGUGGGUGAUCUGCCCUGUACUUUGGGAUAAGCUUGGGAGACUGGGUCUAAUACCGGAUAGGGACCAUCUUCUGUGUGGUGGUUGGAAAGUUUUUUCGGGGUAGGAUGAGUUGGCGGCCUAUUAGCUUGUUGGUGGGGUAAUGGCCUACCAAGGCGGCGACGGGUAGCUGGCCUGCGAGGGUGUACGGCCACACUGGGACUGAGAGACGGCCCAGACUCCGACUGGAGGCAGCAGUGGGGAAUAUUGCACAAUGGGCGCAAGCCUGAUGCAGCGACGCCGCGUGGGGGAUUAAGGCCUUCGGGGUGUAAACUCCUUUCGCUAUGGACGAAGCUUUUUGUGACGGUACCUAGAUAAGAAGCACCGGCUAACUACGUG
rnacentral:rRNA from 1 species